GAUGAACGCUGGCGGCGUGCUUAACACAUGCAAGUCGAACGGUGAAGGCGGAGCUUGCUCUGCUGGAUCAGUGGCGAACGGGUGAGUAACACGUGAGCAAUCUGCCCCUGACUCUGGGAUAAGCGCUGGAAACGGCGUCUAAUACUGGAUACGAGCUGCGAAGGCAUCUUCAGCAGCUGGAAAGAACUUCGGUCAGGGAUGAGCUCGCGGCCUAUCAGCUUGUUGGUGAGGUAACGGCUCACCAAGGCGGCGACGGGUCGCCGGCCGGAGAGGGUGACCGGGCACACUGGGACUGAGACACGGCCCAGACUCCUACGGGAGGCAGCAGUGGGGAAUAUUGCACAAUGGGCGAAAGCCGGAUGCAGCAACGCCGCGUGAGGGAAGACGGCCUUCGGGUUGUAAACCUCUUUUAGCAGGGAAGAAGCGAAAGUGACGGUACCUGCAGAAAAAGCGCCGGCUAACUACGUG
rnacentral:rRNA from 1 species